AUGUCGGUUGUUUCCAAGAUGGUACGGACAUGCUUUUAGAACACAAGAUAACAUUAUUUGGUAACAAAAUAACACUUGCGUUAUGCAAAAGACACUGCAAAGGAUACAAGUUCACGGGACUACGGGCAGGUCAAUACUGUCUCUGUGGAAAUAAUAUCAACUCACAGAAGGCAUACCACCAACUAUUACCCGAAUCUAGUUGCAGCAUGAAAUGUUUUGGUGAACCUACUAGAAAUUGUGGUCACCACGGAGUUAAUUCCAUAUAUAGAGUAUGAGGCAGGCAGAGGAAAAAUUACUGUUUCAGAAAUUUUUCCUGAAUAAAGUAUACAAUUGCUGA